UGUGCCCUUUGCUGUUUGAAUAAGGAGAGGCUUCUCGGAGAACAGAGUUGGAUUCUGUGAAUCAAAACUAAGAAGGUUCUUUCUUGGCUUCUGUUUUGGCAGUGGGUCUGAGGGUUGAGCUUUCCUUCAGAAGGCCAGGCUAGCCCAGAGUUCUUCUGGAGGUGCCACUCGCUGCUCCUUGCACUUGGUGUGAUUUCUUAGAAACAGGCCCUGUGAACAAGCUCAGACCAAAGGAUGUGCUUGUUUUGGACGCUCUUCAGCCAAGGCUGUGGAGGGGAACUUUGUGAAAGCCUUCCUGCCAAAGAUGACUCUGUGUGUGCUUGUGAAUGUUUCAGAGCUACUGAGAGACUUGCAGAGGCCAACACCAAGCUCUUUUUGGAGCGCCUCAGAAGCAAAUCUGCAGUCCCAAGCAGCACCGUCAGCGGACAUCUGGCUGCAAGUCCACUUCUGGAUUCACCUGGCCUGGGACAUCUUGGCAUCAGUUUGGGACUGAGCAGAAGCCUGGGUCUCAGAACACCACCCAGACACCUGUGGUAAAGCCCAAGACUUCUGCUCAUCAGGCACGACAGGAACAGGAUGCAAAAAUGCCUAGAGACCUUCAACGAGCCUUCCAGUUGAGACUGGAAUGUGAAAACUUGCUGCUU